AGUGAACGCUGGCGGCAGGCCUAACACAUGCAAGUCGAGCGGCAGCACGGCAAUAGCAAUAUUGUGGGUGGCGAGCGGCGGACGGGUGAGGAAUGCAUCGGGAUCUACCCUGUCGUGGGGGACAACGUAGGGAAACUUACGCUAAUACCGCAUGAUCUGGAGACAGCAAAGCCGGGGACCCGCGAGGGCCUGGCGCGAUGGGAUGAGCCGAUGUCCGAUUAGCUAGUUGGCGGGGUAAAGGCCCACCAAGGCGACGAUCGGUAGCUGGUCUGAGAGGACGACCAGCCACACUGGAACUGAGACACGGUCCAGACUCCUACGGGAGGCAGCAGUGGGGAAUAUUGGACAAUGGGGGCAACCCUGAUCCAGCCAUGCCGCGUGGGUGAAGAAGG
rnacentral:rRNA from 1 species